rnacentral:rRNA from 1 species
UACAGAGGGUGCAAGCGUUUAAUCGGAUUUACUGGGCGUAAAGCGCGCGUAGGCGGCUAAUUAAGUCAAAUGUGAAAUCCCCCGAGCUUAACUUGGGAAUUGCAUUCGAUACUGGUUAGCUAGAGUGUGGGAGAGGAUGGUAGAAUUCCAGGUGUAGCGGUGAAAUGCGUAGAGAUCUGGAGGAAUACCGAUGGCGAAGGCAGCCAUCUGGCCUAACACUGACGCUGAGGUGCGAAAGCAUGGGGGAGCAAACAGGG